ACAUGCACUUGUUGGUCUUGUUAAUAAGCAGAAUCUUUAUCAAUGGGUCGUGUUUCAAGCCUGAGAUCCUGCAUUGUUAGCAAGCUCUUGGUGUCACUGAA
rnacentral:pre_miRNA from 1 species